rnacentral:rRNA from 1 species
UACGGAGGGUGCAAGCGUUGCUCGGAAUUAUUGGGCGUAAAGGGCGCGUAGGCGGCCGAUUAAGUCGGGGGUGAAAGCCUGUGGCUCAACCACAGAAUUGCCUUCGAUACUGGUUGGCUUGAGACCGGAAGAGGACAGCGGAACUGCGAGUGUAGAGGUGAAAUUCGUAGAUAUUCGCAAGAACACCAGUGGCGAAGGCGGCUGUCUGGUCCGGUUCUGACGCUGAGGCGCGAAAGCGUGGGGAGCAAACAGG